AUUGAACGCUGGCGGCAGGCCUAACACGUGCAAGUCGAGCGGAUGAAGGGAGCUUGCUCCUGGAUUCAGCGGCGGACGGGUGAGUAAUGCCUAGGAAUCUGCCUGGUAGUGGGGGAUAACGUCCGGAAACGGGCGCUAAUACCGCAUACGUCCUGAGGGAGAAAGUGGGGGAUCUUCGGACCUCACGCUAUCAGAUGAGCCUAGGUCGGAUUAGCUAGUUGGUGGGGUAAAGGCCUACCAAGGCGACGAUCCGUAACUGGUCUGAGAGGAUGAUCAGUCACACUGGAACUGAGACACGGUCCAGACUCCUACGGGAGGCAGCAGUGGGGAAUAUUGGACAAUGGGCGAAAGCCUGAUCCAGCCAUGCCGCGUGUGUGAAGAAGGUCUUCGGAUUGUAAAGCACUUUAAGUUGGGAGGAAGGGCAGUAAGUUAAUACCUUGCUGUUUUGACGUUACCAACAGAAUAAGCACCGGCUAACCUCGUG
rnacentral:rRNA from 1 species